GAGUUUGAUCUUGGCUCAGAACGAACGCUGGCGGCAGGCUUAACACAUGCAAGUCGAGCGCGCCCUUCGGGGUGAGCGGCGGACGGGUGAGUAACGCGUGGGAACGUGCCCCUUUCUUCGGAAUAGCCUCGGGAAACUGGGAGUAAUGCCGGAUACGCCCUGUUGGAGUGAUCCAAUGGGGGAAAGAUUUAUCGGAGAGGGAUCGGCCCGCGUUGGAUUAGGUAGUUGGUGGGGUAAUGGCCUACCAAGCCGACGAUCCAUAGCUGGUUUGAGAGGAUGAUCAGCCACACUGGGACUGAGACACGGCCCAGACUCCUACGGGAGGCAGCAGUGGGGAAUCUUGGACAAUGGGGGCAACCCUGAUCCAGCCAUGCCGCGUGAUCGAUGAAGGCCUUAGGGUUGUAAAGAUCUUUCAGCUGGGAAGAUAAUGACGGUACCAGC
rnacentral:rRNA from 1 species